rnacentral:rRNA from 1 species
GACCUCAAAUCAGGUAGGACUACCCGCUGAACUUAAGCAUAUCAAUAAGCGGAGGAAAAGAAACUACAGGAUUCCCCUAGUAACUGCGAGUGAAGCGGGAAAAGCUCAAAUUUGAAAUCUGGCAGUUCUUGCAGCUGUCCGAGUUGUAAUUUAGAGAAGUGUUACCCGCGCUGGACCGUAUAUAAGUCCUUUGGAAUGAGGCGUCAUAGAGGGUGAGAAUCCCGUCUUUGAUACGGACUACCAGUGCUUUGUGGUAUGCUCUCAAAGAGUCGAGUUGUUUGGGAAUGCAGCUCAAAAUGGGUGGUAAAUUCCAUCUAAAGCUAAAUAUAGGCGAGAGACCGAUAGCGAACAAGUACCGUGAGGGAAAGAUGAAAAGAACUUUGGAAAGAGAGUUAAACAGUACGUGAAAUUGCUGAAAGGGAAACGCUUGAAGUCAGUCGCAUUGGUUGAGAAUCAGCCUUGCUUUUGCUUGGUGUACUUCUUAGCUGAUGGGUCAGCAUCAGUUUUGACUGUUGGAUAAAGUUCAAGGGAAUGUGGCAUCUUCGGGUGUGUUAUAGCCUUUGUUCGUAUACAGCAGUUGGGACUGAGGAACUCAGCACGCCGAAAGGCCGGGUUUUUAACCACGUACGUGCUUAGGAUGCUGGCAUAAUGGCUUUAAUCGACCCGUCUUGGAAACCCCGGA